rnacentral:rRNA from 1 species
GGGUCAAGCGUUCGAGCCCGUCCCGCAGGCAAAUCCGCGGGGCGUCGGGGCGAGGCGUGAUGAUGGGGGCCUUACGGCCCGAAUCCGGUGAUCCGUGGUGCCGAGAAAAGCUUCGGCGUCAGGCGCGUUGCCGCCCGUACUCCAAACCGACACUGGUGGUCAGGUAGAGAAUACCAAAGCGAUCGAGCGAAUCCUGGUCAAGGAACUCGGCAAAUUGCUCCCGUGCCUUCGGCAUAAGGGAGACCCCCUGCGGUGAUGAGCGGCGGGGGGUGGCACAGGCCAGGGGGUAGCGACUGUUUACCAAAAACACAGGAGCGUGCGAAGGCGCAAGCCGCUGUAUACGCUCUGACGCCUGCCCGGUGCCGGAAGGUUAAGAGGAUCCGUCAGCUUUCUGCGAAGCGGUGAAUUCAAGCCCCGGUAAACGGCGGUGGUAACUAUAACCAUCCUAAGGUAGCGAAAUUCCUUGUCGGGUAAGUUCCGACCUGCACGAAUGGCGUAACGACUUCCCCACUGUCUCGACCAGGAGCUCGGCGAAAUUGCAGUACGAGUAAAGAUGCUCGUUAAGCGCAGAAGGACGAAAAGACCCCGGGACCUUUACUAUACCUUGGUAUUGGCAUUAGGCGCGGAUUGUGUAGCAUAGGCGGGAGGCUUCGAGGCGGGUGCGCCAGCAUCCGCGGAGCCGCAAGGUGAAAUACCGCUCUGUUCUCGUUUGAUGUCUAACCUCGAACAGUCAUCCUGUUCAGGGACAGUGCCUGGCGGGUAGUUCAACUGGGGCGGUUGCCUCCCAAAGAGUAACGGAGGCGCUCAAAGGUCCGCUCGGCCCGGUUGGCAAUCGGGUGUCGAGUGUAAUCGCACAAGCGGGCUUGACUGCGAGAUCGACGGAUCGAGCAGGGACGAAAGUCGGAGAUAGUGAUCCGGUGCCGGCGCACGGGCGCGGCAUCGCUCAACGGAUAAAAGGUACCCCGGGGAUAACAGGCUGAUCAUUCCCAAGAGUCCAUAUCGACGGGAUGGUUUGGCACCUCGAUGUCGGCUCGUCGCAUCCUGGGGCUGGAGCAGGUCCCAAGGGUUCGGCUGUUCGCCGAUCAAAGCGGCACGCGAGCUGGGUUCAGAACGUCGUGAGACAGUUUGGUCUCUAUCCUCUGCGCUCGUUGGAAUCUUGAGGAGGCCUGCCCAUAGUACGAGAGGACCUGGGUGGACGAACCUCUGGUAUGCCGGUCGUCACGCCAGUGGCGCGGCCGGUUGCUACGUUCGGAAGGGAUAACCGCUGAAAGCAUCUAAGCGGGAAGCCUUCUCCAAGAUAAGGGUUCCAUGCGGCCC